GUUAGCAUAAUCACUUGUUCUUUAAAUGAGGACUUGUAUCAAUGGCAUCACGAGGGCUUUACUGUCUCCUUUCCCUAAUCAGUGAAACUAAUCUUCCCGUGAAGAAGCGGGAAUAAACUUAUAAGACGAGAAGACCCCAUGGAGCUUUAAGUUAGCUACACAUCUAUUUUCUAUACCCUCUAAUUAAAUAGAACACUGCCUGCUCAACUUUAGGUUGGGGUGACCGCGGAGUAUAACAUAACCUCCACGAUGUACGAGAUAUUCUCUUAUCUAAGAACUACAAUUCUAAGAAUUAGUAUUCUUAACAUGCAAUGAUCCGAUAAUCGAUCAACGGAACAAGUUACCCUGGGGAUAACAGCGCAAUCCAUUUCAAGAGCCCCUAUCGACAAAUGGGUUUACGACCUCGAUGUUGGAUCAGGAUAUCCUAGUGGUGCAGCAGCUACUAAAGGUUCGUUUGUUCAACGAUUAAAAUCCU
rnacentral:rRNA from 1 species